AACGAACGCUGGCGGCAUGCCUAACACAUGCAAGUCGAACGAGACCUUCGGGUCUAGUGGCGCACGGGUGCGUAACGCGUGGGAACCUGCCCUUAGGUUCGGAAUAACUCCCCGAAAGGGGUGCUAAUACCGGAUAAUGUCUUCGGACCAAAGAUUUAUCGCCUUUGGAUGGGCCCGCGUUGGAUUAGCUAGUUGGUAGGGUAAAAGCCUACCAAGGCGACGAUCCAUAGCUGGUCUGAGAGGAUGAUCAGCCACACUGGGACUGGGACACGGCCCAGACUCCUCCGGGAGGGAGCAAUGGGGGAUAUUGGACAAUGGGCGAAAGCCUGAUCCAGCAAUGCCGCGUGAGUGAUGAAGGCCUUAGGGUUGUAAAGCUCUUUUACCCGGGAUGAUAAUGACAGUACCGGGAGAAUAAGCUCCGGCUAACUCCGUG
rnacentral:rRNA from 1 species